rnacentral:rRNA from 1 species
AUUGAACGCUGGCGGCAUGCUUUACACAUGCAAGUCGAACGGCAGCGCGGGCUUCGGCCUGGCGGCGAGUGGCGAACGGGUGAGUAAUGCAUCGGAACGUGCCCAGUAGUGGGGGAUAGCCCGUCGAAAGCCGGAUUAAUACCGCAUACGACCUGAGGGUGAAAGCGGGGGACCGAAAGGCCUCGCGCUAUUGGAGCGGCCGAUGUCGGAUUAGCUAGUUGGUGGGGUAAAGGCUUACCAAGGCGACGAUCCGUAGCUGGUCUGAGAGGACGACCAGCCACACUGGGACUGAGACACGGCCCAGACUCCUACGGGAGGCAGCAGUGGGGAAUUUUGGACAAUGGGGGCAACCCUGAUCCAGCCAUGCCGCGUGCGGGAAGAAGGCCUUCGGGUUGUAAACCGCUUUUGUUCGGGAAGAAAUCCUCUGGGCUAAUACCCCGGGGGGAUGACGGUACCGGAAGAAUAAGCACCGGCUAACUACGUG